UCAAAAAUUAAUCUGGGAACAAGACCCAGAGAGGCAGAGUAAGGCAGAGUGUGUUGUUUAUUGUAGCCGUUUGCUUACACACUUUACCUUCAGAAGAGACUAUACAAUCCUUGAGGGUAGAAACCAUUUAUUGUUCAUCUCUCUAUAUAAACGACCUCAAAAACUUUGAGAAACAAGGUAGGAGAUGAGCAAGUAAAAUUAAAAUUCGGCUCAUGAUUUCUAGUUCCAUCCUUGGUUCACAUAAAAUGCCCUGAAUGCCUACUGUGUGCAGACCUUGAACUGGACACGGGGGACCUGAAAACAACUGGCCCCCAGCCACUUCACUCUGCUUGAAUGUUAGAAUGUGUGUUCCAGGAGGACAGGGACCCUUGGGGACCUACUCACUGCCAUUCUAAACACUUAACCGGUUUUAUUUCUUAACAUCAUGACAGCCUUUGUAAGAUGGAAGGUAAUACCAGGAAGAACUGAAGCAAGGGAAAUUCACUAACUACCCAGUUUGGGGGCAGAACCAUCAUUCAAAGACAGGCGAUUUGGCUCACAUUGCAUAAGUUUAAAUGUUGCAGUACAUAACCUUGAGCCACAUAGUAUGUGUGCCAAAAUAUUUGUCGAAUGA
rnacentral:lncRNA from 1 species